AUGAACGCUGGCGGCGUGCUUAACACAUGCAAGUCGAACGAUGAAGCUCAGCUUGCUGGGUGGAUUAGUGGCGAACGGGUGAGUAACACGUGAGUAACCUGCCCUUAACUCUGGGAUAAGCCUGGGAAACUAGGUCUAAUACCGGAUAGGAGCGUCCACCGCAUGGUGGGUGUUGGAAAGAUUUAUCGGUUUUGGAUGGACUCGCGGCCUAUCAGCUUGUUGGUGAGGUAAUGGCUCACCAAGGCGACGACGGGUAGCCGGCCUGAGAGGGUGACCGGCCACACUGGGACUGAGACACGGCCCAGACUCCUACGGGAGGCAGCAGUGGGGAAUAUUGCACAAUGGGCGAAAGCCUGAUGCAGCGACGCCGCGUGAGGGAUGACGGCCUUCGGGUUGUAAACCUCUUUCAGUAGGGAAGAAGCGAAAGUGACGGUACCUGCAGAAGAAGCACCGGCUAACUACGUG
rnacentral:rRNA from 1 species